UACGUAGGGGGCAAGCGUUGUCCGGAAUCAUUGGGCGUAAAGAGCGUGUAGGCGGUCCGGUAAGUCCGCUCUGAAAGCCCGGGGCUCAACCCCGGGAGGCGGGCGGAUACUGUCGGGCUAGAGUCCGGAAGAGGCAAGUGGAAUUCCUGGUGUAGCGGUGAAAUGCGCAGAUAUCAGGAGGAACACCGAUGGCGAAGGCAGCUUGCUGGGACGGUACUGACGCUGAGACGCGAAAGCGUGGGGAGCAAACAGG
rnacentral:rRNA from 2 species